rnacentral:misc_RNA from 1 species
UCUGAUUGGAUAAAACUAACUAUUCUCGCGGUAUUGUUUUCUCUUUUCCGAGCUUCCUUGUGAAGAAAAAAAAAUAGAAUUAUGUUAAAACGUACAAAAGUGGAAUUACCUACUACACCUGAAAUAAAUCCAAAUAGAAAUGAAAAAGUAGCGAAAAUUUCGGAGCCACAAGAGCUCGCACAAGAGAGUCCAGAUGCAGACGGCAGCCUGUCGUGUAUAAAGAAACCAAAACUUGAUUCAAAUGAGUCACCCGGCAAAAACCGGUCUAAGAAAUAUGUCCCGCCUUUCACAGCAUCAAAAAGAUUCAGCAGUCGAUUAAGACUGAAAAGAAUUAAUCAGGAAAAGAAUGAAAGCAAGUCAUGUAGGCAAGAAGCUAUAAAAUGUGGAGGACAAAAUAUCUGCGGAAAGCCAGAAAAAGAAAAGGGAUCAGCAAUGGUUUUGAAAUCAAAUGAAGAAAAAACAGAAUAUUUGAAAUGUUACAAAAAUAAUAAAGAUGGUAACAAGAGAGUCAUCCAACAAGCUCCACAAGUAUCAGAGCUUACACAGCAUUUCAGUGGUCUUCUCCUAAGAAGUGGAAGAGUCUGUGAAGAAAUGGGUAUGCUUGAAAAUACAAUCAGCAACAGUGGUAAUGGUGGUUUAAAAGAAGGUGAGACAUGCACUUUCAACAGAAGCUCAAACCUUGAUGAGACAUGCAUGAACAAUGUGGCUAGCUUGCAGAAGACAAACAAGUUAGACCCCAAUGCAUACAAUUUUGAGGCAAGUUUGCAUACUUUGGCUGACACAUGUGCUAAAGAGGAAUAUAUAAUUGAUGUGUUAACAGUUGAAGAGGAGACUGACCAGAGUAAGAUUACUCCAAAUGCGAAUAAAAGUGGGAAAACAAAGGGUUCUUUGGCAAGAAAUGGGACAACUGUCAAGAACAUUGUAGGUUAUUCAGAUAUAAAUAAUGUAAUGAAUGUGAUUCCACCCCAAUAUCAGGAAGAGAGAAUGGACAUGACAAUUUGCAGCCCAAGCAAAGUUAAGGAGAUGAAAUUAGUUGAGCAUAGAACCACAGAAAAUAUGCUUAGCCCAAAAGGUGUAUCAGCUAGGAAGGAAACUGAGUGCAAAAAUGUUGUAACAUUUGCAACCCAGGGUAUAUUGAAUAAACCGGUGCAUAAAUCUGGUUGUCCUGAACUAAAGUUACAAGACACUGCUGCAUCAUUAUCCCAAGAGCUUAUUGGGAAUACACUUUCAGAGAUGUUGUCAAUAAUAAGUCACAAAAAAACGAAUGAGCCUUCGUUUCAAAGCAAUGAAAGUGACAAUGCAUGUUCAUUGGCCCAACAUGGUGAUAAGACUUUGGGUAAUUCAGUGGUUCAUACUGAGAUGAUCUGCACUGAGCAAGCUGGUAUUCAUGAAUCUGGGAGUUCUCAAGACAAACGUGUUGAAAGUAAGACUAAUGACAUGGACACUGGUGAUAAUUCAUCGAACACAACCUCUGAGAAACAUGUUGAAGUUAUAUCUUUUGACGAAAAAAAUGACAAUAUCAAGAAUGAAAAGAUAGAAAUUGCAGCCAUGAACGAAAAAUUACCAGCUCGUGCAAACGGGAAUAUGAACUCACAGAAAGCAACCUCAGGUGAUAUGAUGGAAGAUGCACAUAAACAACUCUCUUCAUGUGUUUUGAAAGAAUGCGAAGUCGAGGUUGAUGUUGGUGGUAGAGUGGAGUCGAAAGACUUUAAACAUGUUCGUCGUGAAGCCAAUAAUGAUCAAGAAGUUCUUUUUGAGAAAACAUCACCUCUCGAUGGAAAAUGUCCUGAUAAAAUAGCUAGAACUUUACCACAAUGUAAAGAAAGAGUUGUUGUGAAGAACAGGGAAAACGACAAGGACACUGUCACUGGUGCCACGGGCGAUACUGAUACAUCCAUGAAAGGCACGAAUUCGGGUAAGAUGGUUGUUGCUACGCCUACUGUGAACUUGGUCGAACACCGGAGGACUGGCGUUACCCAAAACGAGAGCAAGCAAGUAUCCUCAGCUGAGGAGGAGGAUUUUGCAACAUUCAGCAAUAUUCUUGAUGAUGAAUCCUUUACCGAAGAGUUCGAGGCGCUGGAAAAACUAUUACCAAAAGAUGAUGUCGAAUUUUUUGAUGAUAUGAUUUUGAGUCAACCAAAUUCUAUCAGUGUGGAUACAGAAUUACCUGAUGGGGAAAGUACUAUUGAAUUUUUAAUCAAAGAGGUCAACUCUCUUCAGUAAGUAUGACAUUGAGACAACCUUGACAUUGACGCGAUGUAUUGCCCUUUAGUUUAGAUGUGUAUAGGGCCGUAGCUGGAAGUUUAAUUGAGGGGGGGGGUUGUAUAUUCAUAUAUUCGUCCUAUGCCCGACGUCUUUUGUACGCUAUUGUUCCUACGGUGUAUGGUUACGAAUCACGAGCGAGCUGUUGAGGAUAUUAAAAGACAAUACAAGCCUGUGAGGUCUUGGUCCACAGUGAAUACAGAUUAAG